CGGGGUGCGCUGGCGGCGUGCUACACAUGCAGUUGAGCGUGAGUUUAUAUUGAUUCUUCGGAUGAUUUAUAAAUGGAAAGCAGCGGACGGGUGAGUAACGCGUGGAUAACCUGCCCUAUACUCCAGGAUAACAUACCGAAAGGUAUGCUAAUACUGGAUAAUAUACAUUAGUCGCAUGGCUUUUGUAUCAAAGAUUACGGUAUAGGAUGGAUCCGCGUUCCAUUAGCUAGUUGGUGGGGUAAAGGCCUACCAAGGCGACGAUGGAUAGCCGACCUGAGAGGGUGAUCGGCCACACUGGAACUGAGACACGGUCCAGACUCCUACGGGAGGCAGCAGUGGGGAAUAUUGCACAAUGGGCGAAAGCCUGAUGCAGCAACGCCGCGUGAGCGAUGAAGGCCUUCGGGUCGUAAAGCUCUGUCCUAAAGGAAGAAUUUUGACGGUACUUUAGGAGGAAGCCCCGGCUAAUUACGUGCCAGCAGCCGCGGUAAUACGUAAGGGGCUAGCGUUAUCCGGAAUUACUGGGCGUAAAGGGUACGUAGGCGGUUUAUUAAGUCAGGGGUGAAAGGCUACGGCUCAACCGUAGUAAGCCUUUGAAACUGAUAAACUUGAGUAUGGUAGAGGAAAGUGGAAUUCCUGGUGUAGCGGUGAAAUGCGUAGAUAUCAGGAGGAACAUCGAUGGCGAAGGCAGCUUUCUGGGCCAUUACUGACGCUGAGGUACGAAAGCGUGGGGAGCGAACAGGAUUAGAUACCCUGGUAGUCCACGCCGUAAACGAUGAGUGCUAGGUGUUGGGGGUCGAACCUCGGUGCCGCAGUUAACGCAUUAAGCACUCCGCCUGGGGAGUACGCUCGCAAGAGUGCAACUCAAAGGAAUUGACGGAAGGGCGAAUUCCA
rnacentral:rRNA from 1 species